AGGGAGGUUGUCGAAAAUCCUUAAAAAGAGUAGACA
ncrna:unclassified sequences DTF805b RNA